UAGAGGAAGAAAGAAGGUGAGUAGAAGAAGAAGAGGGUGAUUGUAUUAUAGAAAGGUGUGUGUGUGUGUGUUAUGAUUGAGAGACAGAAGAAGAAGAAGAAGAAGAGAGCGAGGCGGCGGCAUAGGCAGUGCUUGCACCUCCCGCAAUUAACCGCUUCUGACUCGACCCUAGCAACACUGUUAGUGCCAUUAAUAACGAGUGCCGCUUGCCAUCGACAUCACUAGGUUUUUCUCAGUCGCUUUCUAAUCAUACGGAAAAACAGGGGGAAAAAAAAAUUAAUCCCCCACCUUCGUUCUCUCUUCCCCGACAGCAGCACUCAUCAUAUUUUGAAGCCGUGAUAUUUAUUAUUAUUAUUAUUAUUAUUACAUCUUAGUACACGAUCGUUUAUUAUUAAUUAUUAUUACUACAUUAUUACUAUUAUUGCUAUUACUACAUCGGUUAAAAUACUUGAUUUCUCAACUUCGUUUUACUUCGUGUAAAUUGGAAAAUAUGUAAAAGAAAAACAACAACAACAAUAACAAAAGCAAUCAACCACAACAAAAACAACAACAACACGACACACAAAAAAAGACGAAAACGACGGAAAAAAAAAACAAUUACAAUUUUUUUUUCUUAUUACUGUUCGAGUCUUCUUGCUUUUUUCAAAGGUAACUUCAUCUCUUCACGGAAUACAUAUGUAAAAUAAUUCUAUCAACAGUCACCGCAGAAGAAGGUGAAAACAAAAGAGAGAAAAACAAACAACAACGAAAAUCCAAAAAGAGAGAAAAAAAAGCCAACCUCGUCCCCCCACUCUCGGUAACUCUGUGAAGGAGAGAGAGAGAAAGACAAGAGUUGGAUGUUCUUCAUUCUUUCACUAAUUGACUGUGGAGUAAACACAUUAAGCCAGGAAAAAGACUUUGGAAGGAAAAAAUUUACACAAAAUUAUUAAUACAAGUCGACAGCGGCAACAGCAGAAAAAAACACA